UGGGGAAUAUUGCACAAUGGGCGCAAGCCUGAUGCAGCCAUGCCGCGUGUGUGAAGAAGGCCUUCGGGUUGUAAAGCACUUUCAGCGGGGAGGAAGGCGAUAAGGUUAAUAACCUCAUCGAUUGACGUUACCCGCAGAAGAAGCACCGGCUAACUCCGUGCCAGCAGCCGCGGUAAUACGGAGGGUGCAAGCGUUAAUCGGAAUUACUGGGCGUAAAGCGCACGCAGGCGGUCUGUCAAGUCGGAUGUGAAAUCCCCGGGCUCAACCUGGGAACUGCAUUCGAAACUGGCAGGCUAGAGUCUUGUAGAGGGGGGUAGAAUUCCAGGUGUAGCGGUGCAAUGCGUAGAGAUCUGGAGGAAUACCGGUGGCGAAGGCGGCCCCCUGGACAAAGACUGACGCUCAGGUGCGAAAGCGUGGGGAGCAAACAGG
rnacentral:rRNA from 1 species